UACGAAGGGGGCUAGCGUUGUUCGGAAUUACUGGGCGUAAAGCGCGCGUAGGCGGCUUUGCAAGCCAGAGGUGAAAUGCCUGAGCUCAACUUAGGAAUUGCCUUUGGGACUGCAAGGCUUCGAGGACUGGAGAGGUGAGUGGAAUUCCCAGUGUAGAGGUGAAAUUCGUAGAUAUUGGGAAGAACACCAGUGGCGAAGGCGGCUCACUGGCCAGUUUCUGACGCUAAAGUGCGAAAGCGUGGGGAUCAAACAGG
rnacentral:rRNA from 1 species